rnacentral:misc_RNA from 1 species
AAGUCGUAACAAGGUCUCCGUAGGUGAACCUGCGGAGGGAUCAUCAUUGAAAACAAAUUUGAACAGGAGUGUUGGAUUUUCGAGAGGGGAGGGGGGCAGGAAAACUCUGCAUUGUGAAAACUCUGCAUUUCUGUUGCCCGAGCCUUGAGAGAGCCGCCUUCUGUACAAACAACCAAUCUACAUGACUAGGAAAACACACACACUGGUUUGGAGGGGGACACACACAUACACACAAGUUCUUGUCUGACAAGUUGCUUGCUGAUUUGGAGCAGAUAACAAUACAACUUUCAACAACGGAUCUCUUGGCUCUCA